ensembl:lncRNA
GAGCUGAGGCAGAGGGGCCUGCAGGCCGGAGUGGGGGCUCUUGGCCCCUGGGGGUGCGCUGGGCCAGCCAGCGGUGCAAAACGGGGCUAGCCUUGGCCGCUCCUUGACCCUCCCGGGCAGGCUGUGGGGGGUGUCACGGCCCUGUGAAGUCUUCUUCAGCGAAACAGAAGCCAGCGCUGGGAGUGAUGCGAUGGAGGUGAAGGCUCUUAGCUCCCUGGCAGAGACACCCUGCAGAAACCCGAGGCACGUCAGAAAGCAGAGUUUUGGGAGAAGCUUUGAUUUAGAGAACAAGGUUUUGGCAUCAAACUGCGAUCAGAGAACAGCGGCAGCCUGCCACGCCGUGAAACUGAGCACCAUAAACCUCAUUAAUCUGAGGCCUCCGUGUUCAAAGCGACGCCUAAUUAGAAAGAGCCGAGACUCUUCACCAGGCUGGGCGGCCCAUUGUUCCUGCUGGACAAGUCACACCAGGAUGUUGAACUGCAGUUGAAUCUAGAGGCAGGGGAGGCACAGAAGGAAGACUCAGGGUCAUGAGCCUGAAAGAGCCCAGGACUGGCACUGGGGACUCCAGGAUUCCAGACCUGUCGUUGGCACUGACUGGCUACCUUGUGCUUUUGAGCAGGUUGUUUACCUUCUCUCAGCCUCAGUUUCCAAAUCUGGGGACGGGAAUGAUAGCUCUUUCCUCCAGCACUCUGGACUUCAUACAGUGAGGUCAGAUGGGGGACUAAGUGUGAACCUGCCCCAGCAUCUGUUCAGAGUGCAGGGGGGAGAUGGGGAUACUCCUGGCUUUGCUUGUACAGCUCUAGAGGCUGGGUGCUCAUCACCUUUUGAGGCUGCCUUUUAAAUCGCUGGAUAGUUGCAGUUAUUAGAAUGGUCAUUAUAUUAAUUUCCUAGGGCUGCCAUAACAAAGUACCAUAAACCUAGUGGAUUAAAACAACAGAAACUUAUUUUCUGAGUUCUGAGAAUUGGACUAUAAAGAAAGCUGAGCGCCGAAGAAUUGAUGCUUUUGAACUGUGGUGUUGGGGAAGAUUCUUGAGAGUCCCUUGGACUGCAAGGAGAUCCAACCAGUCCAUCCUAAAGCAGAUCAGUCCUGGGUGUUCAUUGGAAGGACUGAUGUUGAAGCUGAAACUCCAAUACUUUGGCCACCUGAUGUUAAGAGCUGACUCAUUUGAAAAGACUCUGGUGCUGGGAAAGAUUGAGGGCAGAAGAAGGGGACGACAGAGGAUGAGAUGGUUGGAUGGCAUCACCGACUCAAUGGACAUGGGUUUGUGUGGACUCCGGGAGUUGGUGAUGGACAGGGAGGCCUGGCGUGCUGCGGUUCAUGGGGUUGCAAAGAGUCGGACAUGACUGAGCGACUGAACUGAACUGAGAGGCUAGAAGUCUGAAAUCAAGGUGUUGGCAGGGCUCUGCUCCCUCUGGAGUUUCUAGGGAUGGAAAUUUCUUGUUUCUUCCAGCUUUUCAUGGUUGUUUGGCAUUGCUUGGCUUGUAGAAAAAUCAUUCCACUCUCUACAUCCAUCUUCACAGGGCAUUCUUCCUGUUUGUGGGUCUGUGUCCAAAAUUCCCUCCUCUCAUAAAGACACCAGUCACUGGGCAAGAUCCUACCAUAAUAAAGCAUGACCUCAUCUUAGCUAAUUACGUCUG